rnacentral:rRNA from 1 species
GAUGAACGCUGGCGGCGUGCUUAACACAUGCAAGUCGAACGAGAAAUGUAGACGGAAACCUUCGGGCGGAAGCCUUCAUUUCGAGUGGCGGAUGGGUGAGUAACGCGUGGGUAACCUGCCUCAUACAGGGGGAUAACAGUUGGAAACGACUGUUAAUACCGCAUAAGACCACAGCAUCGCAUGAUGCGGGGGUAAAAACUCCGGUGGUAUGAGAUGGACCCGCGUUCGAUUAGCCAGUUGGCGGGGUAACGGCCCACCAAAGCGACGAUCGAUAGCCGAUCUGAGAGGAUGACCGGCCACAUUGGGACUGAGACACGGCCCAAACUCCUACGGGAGGCAGCAGUGGGGAAUAUUGCACAAUGGGGGAAACCCUGAUGCAGCGACGCCGCGUGAGUGAAGAAGUACUUCGGUAUGUAAAGCUCUAUCAGCAGGGAAGAAAAUGACGGUACCUGAGUAAGAAGCCCCGGCUAACUACGUG